UACGUAGGGGGCGAGCGUUAUCCGGAAUUACUGGGCGUAAAGCGCACGCAGGCGGUUUGCCAAGUUUGGAGUGACAGUUGUCGGCUCAACCGACAAAGGACUUCAAAAACUGGUGAACUUGAGGACGAGAGAGGAACAUGGAACUCCAGGUGUAGUAGUGAAAUGCGUAGAUAUCUGGAAGAACACCAAUGGCGAAGGCAAUGUUCUGGCUCGUUUCUGACGCUCAGGUGCGAAAGCCAGGGGAGCGAACGGG
rnacentral:rRNA from 1 species